rnacentral:rRNA from 1 species
CCUACGGGAGGCUGCAGUGGGGAAUAUUGCACAAUGGGCGCAAGCCUGAUGCAGCCAUGCCGCGUGUGUGAAGAAGGCCUUCGGGUUGUAAAGCACUUUCAGCGGGGGGGAAGGCGGUGAGGUUAAUAACCUCAUCGAUUGACGUUACCCGCAGAAGAAGCACCGGCUAACUCCGUGCCAGCAGCCGCGGUAAUACGGAGGGUGCAAGCGUUAAUCGGAAUUACUGGACGUAAAGCGCACGCAGGCGGUCUGUCAAGUCGGAUGUGAAAUCCCCGGGCUCAACCUGGGAACCGCAUUCGAAACUGGCAGGCUAGAAUCUUGUAGAGGGGGGUAGAAUUCCAGGUGUAGCGGUGAAAUGCGUAGAGAUCUGGAGGAAUACCGGUGGCGAAGGCGGCCCCCUGGACAAAGACUGACGCUCAGGUGCGAAAGCGUGGGGAGCAAACAGGAUUAGAUACCCGGGUAGUC